CCGUAGGAUCACCAAAGUUAAGCAACGUCGAGUCUGGUCAGUACCUCGAUGGGUGACUGCUUGUGAAUACCAGGUGCUGUAAG